GGGUGGUAAGGGAGUUCCAGCAAAUUAAUAGGAGUCCGGGAAGUUUUUGGGGGCUGGGGUCCAGUUGAGGAAGCCACAGGUUCCAGACUGUCAAGAGCUGCGCAGAUGAAGCUGAUGGGGCCUGGACCAUUAGUUAAGAGUCCGCUCCCCUCACCUCCGUGGUUUGGUUCAGUUUAAUGACCCACCCAGAAUGACCUAUUGCUGUCCUCGUCGGGAUCCAUCCUCUCUUAGGUGUUGGCGACCCCCGGGCCUAUCUCAGCCAGUCUGAAUAGGAAGGGAACCACGAGCCUGCCGAGCUCCCCUGACCUAGCCCUCCGCCCCGCCUUUUGUGUUUUAACCUUUUGUUUCUAUCGGCCACACCCGCCCAAAAGAGCGGCGGCUUUUCGUCUCUGUUCAGCGGGGAAGCAGCGAGGUUCCCUCCAGAUAGCGGUGAAGGGCGGCUUCCUAACUUUGUUUCCCAAGUCCCCUAACUUCGGAAUGCUUCUGCAUUGGUUCUUGCUCAGUAAGUCAAUAUCUUCACUUUAUAUGAACUAUCUUUUGCUGUUUUUCUACUUCGUUCCAAAAGUUGUUUAUCUCUACCAGCCACUUGCGUUCAUUAAACAACAACAACAAAAAAAGAUAACUUAGAGAUCUAAGUUAGGGUCCAAAGGACAGAGGUUGGCUUUAUCUGUCGGAUGCCUUUAAAUAUGACUUUAUCUUGAUUCUGCAACACAAAACCCGGCUCAUGGUCUUCAGGUAUGUUUGUGGGCUCCGUCCAAAUACCAAGGUAAUUUAUCACCUUCUCCACCCUCUUCUGUGUUUCCAAAUGCUGGAGGUGUUCUUCAAGCUCCUGGAGACACUUUUUAACAAGACAAGUCAAACACAGAACUCAUCCUACUGCGGGUGACUCUAGGAAGCAUCCAAACAAUGCAUUAACUUCUGAGAGUUAGCAUUCUGCAAGGUGCCAGAGCCGGGGAGCUUUGAAUCUUUAUGUCAAAGACUGAAAGGAAUUAAGACGACAGUUAUUCUUUUAGGGAGGGAGUGUAUAGACUGUCCCGACAACUAACCUUAAUACAUUCUAAUUGUAUAGGUGUCAUACCAGCGACUCCAAGAGUCAUGUCACCCACUUAGCAGGAGUACUUCUACUGAAAUGCCUUCGAAUUUCUCUUACUGGAUAUAUACCUACCAGCCGCUAGCAUGAAGAUGCCAGGACCGCUGCAAGUUAGCACUGGACAAAGUAGCAUCAACUUCUUCAUUUAGAGUUUCUUCAGUUAAAUUGCUGGGAUUUUCGACAAGGCUUUCCUUAUGUGGAUUAUUGGAGUGUGAUGCCCGAGAAUUCUCUACUUGUAGAAGCACGCCCACGGGACUGCAGAAGCCUUCACACCCACCCAGCACGCUCAGAUCAUCCAGUAACCAACCCAGGAAGUUCUUGUAAGCAUGCAUUUCUUAGUCAACACUGAAUGCCUUUAGACCGAGGUCAACCUUUUCAGCUGGUACCGUGGUUUACACUGCUGAAAGUACUGUCUUCAACCUUACCAAUGUCAGUGGCGGCGACGGUGGCGUCACCAUCACCAUCAGAGAAAAAGAAAUAUGCCUUUAUGUCAUGGUGGAACCAUCUAGGGAGGCCUGCCACUGUUUGCUGAGCUCCGGGUGAGGAUGAAGACACUUUGACAUGGCCAGCUUCAGACUCGGGAUCUGUCGGUGUUAGCAGCCGAAGGAGAAUGAGGAGGAAGAGGAGGAGAAAGAGGAGGAGGAAGUAAGACAGAGGGGGACAAGAGGACCAAGAGGGCACAUGGCUGAGGAGGAGGAGAACAACAACAACAACAACAACAACAACAACAACAAGAAGCUUGGUGGUGAAACUUGGAAGCCCUCUCCAGGAUGCAGCAGGUAGCUGAGGAGAAAACGAAGACUGACCAGCCCAGAGCUCAGAGCUUCCUCCCAUGCUCAGGAUUUACCACCAAUGCCAUUACAUCGGCCUCUUCUUGUAUGCCUCUGGAAACCACAUGUGUCCUCUGUUUGUAAUGGUUUGGCUAUGGUUGCUGGCCCCUCUUGGACAUUGUUUUCAGAACUUAAAGAAACAUUGCUUUAAAGAUUUAUUAGAACAUAUUUAAAAUAAAACCAUCUUCUCAUU
rnacentral:lncRNA from 1 species